UGUGCUUUUAACAUGUGCGUCCCAGGAUAGCCUGCGUUGGGUCAGCACCUCCGUGUGGUCUUCCCCUCUUCAUCGCCGGACCGUGGCCGAAACUGACACCGCUGUGGGAUCGUGGACCCUGAUCGUGUCGUGGCUCCAUGCACAAGCCGAAUCUCGGGGAUCGACGCCCACCUACCUGUCUGGGCUGGGCUGUCCUGGCGCGGGGUGUGGCGCUGCUUGGCCCGACGACUGUGCUCUUUUGGCCAUGGCACUGACUGGGCGGGGGCCUCAGUUUUCCUUUCUUGUGUUGGCUCCAUAAGGCACAAAAUUACGCCACUGAAACUGUAAGAUAUCGGACAACAAUCAGCGACAUCCUCGGUAUUUUCCCUUUCCUGUUGGACAUGACAUUCGGUACGAUCUAAGUAGACGGCAAAUCUCCAGAUGUAUCAUCAAAAAUCAUCGAGGCCGGCAAAGCAGGAGAAACUCUGACACCAGUGUUUCGCAACGACGUGCUCUUCCUGUUUUCACCAACGAAACACCUUCCUGCGAAGUUAUGUUAUCUAAUUUACAUGAAAUUACUGCAUGGGUACCAGCAGGCGCAAUGCCCACAUUCUGCUGCUAAUAGACGUACAUACUUAUUUUUCUUAGCAAUGUGCUGCAAAUCUACUUUUAUCUCAUUAAUUUCACUCUGUAACAGAUUGUAUCUUUUGAUGUUGGGGCAAAUUCAAAAGUAAAUGCACGUUUGGGCUCAUUCAACAUGAUAAUGGGGGAGAAAAAUAUAUCCUAUUUGAUAAAUAUACCGAUUACUUUAUUUCCUACUUACAUAAUUAUGAAGUAUUCUCAGUUGAAAGAAAUAUAUCGGGAGAAAUCCCCCCCCCAGCUGGAUACGCCACUAGGAGGGAAAGGUCCGGCCAGACCGCCAUUUCUUUAUAUGGGGGACAGUUUACUGGGGAAUCUUCAUUAACAGCGGCAACGACCACGACUUUUGGACUUCGUGUAAGCCACACCAGCAUGAAAGCAACGCUGGUUUUGCGUGGUUUUCUAUCAAGAGGAUUAUCUUUCACUUGCAACUGCAAAUGUCAAUAAAAAGUUGUCAUAAACAUAUCACCUGCCAGAUCAGUUUCGACUAAUCGCUAUAGAUCUGGCGGUUCUGCAGUUUACAUAGGAUUAUAAUUGUGUUUGCUCUCCCUGUGUCUCUUAUUUUUAACUCUUCCGGGGAGUAAACUGACAGAUGCUUUGAAAAAGCGGAUAAUGUUUGUCAUAAAUAAAUCAACUGUCAGAUCAUUUUGGGAAAAUGACCAAAAUNCCGGCCAGAUUAAAA